UCUCGUGCCCUCUUUGGGCAUGGGAUGAACUCGUUGGUGCUUUGCAUGUUCCUUUGUAAGCCAUCGGCUCAUCUCUUGGCCCAUGCUCGGUUACCUGACCCUCGGAUGCUGAAAAUUAAGUGGGCAAGGGGUUGAGAAACCCCUCUGAUAAGCCCGAGCCUAGCGCUCGUCGCUCGAACCGAAAGACGUUGUGGCUCGCCUUGGUGUUCUUGAACCAUGGGUUCUCGUAACGGCCAUGCGUUGUCCCAAUC
rnacentral:misc_RNA from 1 species